CAGAUAUGGAAGGCUAACAUUUUCUGGAUUAGCAAUUGGUUUUCCUUGUCUGUUUUGAUGCUGCUCUAGGCAACUCUGAGGUCCCCUCCACACACCUGAAGAGGAAGCCCUACAGGAGAUCUAAGAAUCGUGCUGGGACUGUGAAUAUAUGAUCCACCAUCUGUGAUACCAGUAAUCAAUGAGA
rnacentral:lncRNA from 12 species